rnacentral:rRNA from 1 species
GUCGAACGCGAAAGCCCCGAAAGGGGUAAGUAGAGUGGCAAACGGGUGAGUAACACGUGGGUGACCUGCCUUAGAGUGGGGGAUAACGUCCCGAAAGGGACGCUAGUACCGCAUAACAUCCUGCCUUUGAAGAGGUGGUGAUCAAAGCUGGGGACCGCAAGGCCCAGCGCUUAAAGAGGGGCCCGCGCCUGAUUAGCUAGUUGGUGGGGUAAUGGCUCACCAAGGCAACGAUCAGUAUCCGGCCUGAGAGGGCGGACGGACACACUGGGACUGAGACACGGCCCAGACUCCUACGGGAGGCAGCAGUGGGGAAUUGUUCGCAAUGGGCGCAAGCCUGACGACGCAACGCCGCGUGGAGGAUGAAGACCUUCGGGUCGUAAACUCCUUUCGAUCGAGACGAAUGGCUUCAGGGUUAACAGCCCUGGGGAAUGACGGUACCGAGAGAAGAAGCCCCGGCUAACUCCGUGCCAGCAGCCGCGGUAAUACGGGGGGGGCAAGCGUUGUUCGGAAUUACUGGGCGUAAAGGGCUCGUAGGUGGCCAACUAAGUCGGACGUGAAAUCCCUCAGCUUAACUGGGGAACUGCGUCCGAUACUGGAUGGCUUGAGUUUGGGAGAGGGAUGCGGAAUUCCAGGUGUANCGGUGAAAUGCGUANAUAUCUGGAGGAACACCGGUGGCGAAGGCGGCAUCCUGGACCAACACUGACACUGAGGAGCGAAAGCCAGGGGAGCAAACGGGAUUAGAUACCCCGGUAGUCCUGGCCCUAAACGAUGAAUGCUUGGUGUGGCGGGUAUCGAUCCCU